rnacentral:rRNA from 1 species
UUUUUUUUUUAAUGAUACGGCGACCACCGAGAUCUACACUCUUUCCCUACACGACGCUCUUCCGAUCUGGGGAGUGUGGAAUAACAGUUGGAAACGACUGCUAAUACCGCAUACGCUACAUAUUUGACUAUGUAGGAAAGGGGGCCUCUGCAUAUGCUUCCGCUUUUCGAUGAGUCCGCGUCCCAUUAGCUAGUUGGCGGGGUAACGGCCCACCAAGGCGACGAUGGGUAGCUGGUCUGAGAGGAUGACCAGCCACACUGGGACUGGAACACGGCCCAGACUCCUACGGGAGGCAGCAGUGGGGAAUAUUGCGCAAUGGGCGAAAGCCUGACGCAGCGACGCCGCGUGAGGGAUGAAGGUCCUCGGAUCGUAAACCUCUGUCAGAAGGGAAGAAGUUAUGCUGUUCUAAUCAGCGGCAUAUUGACGGUACCUUCAAAGGAAGCACCGGCUAACUCCGUGCCAGCAGCCGCGGUAAUACGGAGGGUGCGAGCGUUAAUCGGAAUUACUGGGCGUAAAGCGCACGUAGGCUGUAUGUCAAGUCAAGGGUGAAAUCCCACGGCUCAACCGUGGAACUGCCUUUGAAACUGGCAAACUGGAGUAUGUGAGAGGGUGGCGGAAUUCCUGGUGUAGGAGUGAAAUCCGUAGAUAUCAGGAGGAACAUCAGUGGCGAAGGCGGCCACCUGGCACACCACUGACGCUGAGGUGCGAAAGCGUGGGUAGCAAACAGGAUUAGAUACCCUGGUAGUCCACGCUGUAAACGAUGGAUACUGGGUGUUGGGUUGUAUGACUCGGCGCCGUAGCUAACGCGUUAAGUAUCCCGCCUGGGGAGUACGGUCGCAAGGCUGAAACUCAAAGAAAUUGACGGGGGCCCGCACAAGGCCGCUGCCUGACAACAGAACAUCUGAAGCCGGGGCAGAAGAUCACUGUUAUCGGCAGCAAUGCAG